UCAUACACUUUAGAACAGCUAAGCGAAACCGUCCUUCUAGGUGUAUCCGUCUAUAUUCCUCUCACAACCAAAGUUCAUGAUACCUAAGCUUCUGAGAUUGUAACAGCAGAAGAGGAAACCCUGGAGGGCUGAACCUCUAGUUCAAUCAACAAUUUAUAGUAAUGGAAGUAUUUACAGCUACCGUCUGCGAAUAGUGAACGUCACCAUUUUGUUAAAGAUAUUAAAAUAUAUUACUUUUAGCUCAUCGCUCAGGAACUAGAGAAUCUAUGGAAAAAAUUUGAUUUUCCAUGUAUAACAUUAAAGUCUGUUGUAAGAAAAGUAAAAACUCUGUUGACAAGGUAUGAUACCCAUUUGAAUGUCUGAAACCAGGUCAAAAUUUUGAAGAUUUGUUUGACAUUACUAAUCAACAUGGGAGCUGGUUAUCUAAAAAAGACAAAGACUUUUACAGUACACAAAUUCAAAAUGGCAGUAUAACUGGCUACACCAUGUCUCAGUUAGCUAUGGUUCAUCUUUCAAAACGAACACCUUCUUCAUUAAGAGUGUCAGCUUCAACUUCACAAGCAUUUCUAAAGCAGAUACAUCAUCAGAAACCUCUACUUCUGAUUCUGCAGAUGAAAUUACAUUACCAAUAGAUGAACAAGUUGGCACCUCUAAACAACAAUAUCAUUCAACUCAGAAAGCAAUGAACUUACUGAAAAAAAAAUGAAUUUAAGCAGUCAUAAAGCAGCCAAUGUCUGCAAACAGCUGAGAGAGGAAGGAGUACUUCUCUCUACUCCGUCACAGUCAGGUGUGUACAAAGCUGUUAUGAGAGAGGCUGCAAAGAGGAAGCAGGAACUAAAAGAAACUUUAAAAAAUGACAAGUGGGUGCUCCAUUUUGAUGGAAAGAGGCAAGUUGUGGUAGUGAAAAACAACACAAGAGAAAUUAAAUUAGCAGCACUAACUCUGAAGAAUGGCAGAGCAGAUACCAUUUUUCAAGGACUAAAGGAAGUUUUAGAUGAUUACGAAUUGUGGCCAGCAAUCAAAAUGAUCAUCACAAACACAUGUAGUGUAAAUACAGGAAAGCAUACUGGAGUGGUCAUUCAACUCAGAAUGAAUUUGUAAAGCAUGGAUAUUCUGCACCUCAAUACAUUGGUUGCCAAUAUCAUGUGUUAGACCGCCUCCUAAAACAUGUGAUGGAUGAUACACUGAAAGGAAAAACUGCAUCACCAAAUAUAUCAUAUCCGUUCAUAGAAGAUUUAAUAGAAAAAAAAACUAUGAGGAUUUGAUGGCAGAAUGGAAACAAGGCAAAGCAAAACUUCAAAUGGAUGAUAAUUCAGGUUGGAGAGAUGACCUUCAGUUUGAACUUGGUCGUGCUUUCUAGUUUUAUCAGCAACAAAGCAUUUUCCCAGAAACUAAGUUUAGAAACUUCUUAGACUUAGCAACGCAUGUUGGAAUUCACAAGCAAUCUUGGCCAUCCUCACUUACAUGCUUCUACCACAAAGUAGGGAAAAACUCUACAACAUGUGUUGUUUUAUCAAUGGAAACUGGAUGGAAAUGUGGUUUUGUUACCUAAGUUUUGACAGCAUGGCCUACCAGAAACUUUCAGAAGUUUCUGGAUAUAUUAAAGCAAGGAAAUGUUUGAAAGGUAAUUGGAAUCUUGAAGAAUCAGUAAUUCAAGAUGUUCAGCGUUCAAACAUAUGUGCUGAACGUGCAGUAAAAAUAAUGGAGGAAUUAGAUUGCAGGUCUUCUGAAAAAUUGAAUCUUCAAUUUGUUUUAACCAACAAGGAUCUUUGAAAACUGCUGUUGUAUUAGGCUGCACUUACCACAUUAACAAUGUAUAACUGUACGUCUUGUUACUUGAACAAUAUACGUAUAUCCAUAGUAAAAAUGUUGUCAAAUAUAUUGUCAUCAGUGGGGAAAUUUUUUGUGUCAAAGAAAGAAAUGAUUUUGUCAUUAUAACAUAAAGUUCACCUUCUGGUACCUUGGCCUUACUCGACUUAAAAAAAGUCAUCACCCUAAUGGCGAAUUAAUACUGUUGUUUUGGAACAGCUUGGAUCUUGAGGUAUUUGUGAUCAUCCUGGACCUAGACAUUAAGAUUAAGGUACUGGAUGUAAACAGUAGUGAAGGUGAUGCCUUCAGACUAAAAGCUGUCUAUGUUGUAAAUGGAAAAAGAUAUCCAGAUUUCUUCAAAUGUCUAAAAGCAUUUUUUGGCACAUCCUGCUCUUUAGUACUAGUAGGAAACUGGAAUGGCAUUUUAGAUGCAUGCUGGGUUUAGGAGUGGAGUGUAAAAACCUCACAAAACUGCUCAGACAGUUACAAUUGCCUGCCAUGUACCAACUGGAUUUCUCAAAUGCACCAGUGUAGACAAAGAACCACCACUAGAUCAUCUAAAUUGUAUCUAGAUAGGGUAUUUGUUACAAUGGGGAAUAAAGAUAGUGCCAAAUGUCCAGCUUCAACUGAUUGGUUAUGCAAACUACAAAUUUGUGAUCUGUACAGUUAACUUAGAAUGCAUAGACAAGGCUACAGCUACUAAGAGAUUAAUGCAUCAUUCCCAGUAAGCAAAGCUUACAGUGGCUGGAUUAGCAAAUUAGUUAAGCAGAAGUUGACAGGAGCAACUAUCAAUAACUGGGUAUAGCAUUCUAAAGAAAGUGAUUAUAAAAACAGAUCAAGAGAACUAGAUAAGACGUGAUUAGGAAAAGUAUCAUGACAGAUGUGCUAGUGGUGAGACCGGCUCUCAAUCGUUUCUUCAAAAUGAAACAUAAAAAAUACAUUGUCAGAAUUAAGUGCUUGCUCACUUCAACAUACUAUAGUAUUUGCAUGGCAGUCAAAGCUAAUGACCACGAACUGAAACUGCUUUAAAUCAUAUGCUCAGUGUACCAAAGAUAAUUAUCUAUAUGUACUGAAUCACAAGUCGCCCCUGUGGAAACUGUCAAUGCUGAGAAGCAUCUGAUUUGAACAGUGGUGCAGAAGAACUGUUUCUAUAUAUAUGGAUAACAUCACCAUAAUGGUAUCAGACACUACAGAUGUUAUGGUAAUAGAGACCAUUCUAAAGAAAUAUGAGGUGGUGACAGGAGUAAAAAAGUAACCCAAAGAAAUCAGUGGGCUUGUAAUCUGGCACCUAGAGAAGCAAGUCUUUGUUGAUUAAGUUGCUUGAGGUCUGAUUUUGACCUACAAGUGAGAGAAGGUUAUGAAUAAUCUAUCUCACACAGAAAUGGGCUAAGUGGGGAAAGGUUAGGCAGAGGUGAUAAAUAUGUAAAAUGCAUCUGUUGAAUAUUAUUAACCAAUUAUGUACAGGUCUGACUGUGUGGUUAAGAAACUUGCUUCCCAACCAUGUGAUCCCAGGUUUUUGGGUGUGUGUCUUCAAUUACAGCCUGUGGUCAACCAAAGCCUUAACCUAGAAUGUAUAGACAAGGAUACAGCAUGCAUCUAAAGCCUUUCUCAGUACAUACUUGUCAGCAUUUUGCCCAUCUUUACGUUCUGAAUUCAAAUUCCACCAAGGUCUAUUUUGCCUCUCAUCCUUUUGGGGUCAAUAAAUUAAGUACCAGUUGGGUACUGGGGCUGAUGCAAUCAAGUUAACCCUUCCCCCAAAAUGUCAGGUCUUAUGCCUAUAUAGAAUGGAUUAUUAUUAUUAUUAUUAUUAUUAUUAUUAUUAUUCAUUGUGUAGGUGGCAAUAUCCAACUCAGUCAUUUACUAAAACCAACCACAGAGAGGGGGCUGUGGAAAUGAAAUAAACUAAAAAGUAACACUAAUGGUGACACCCCCAGAGUGGCUACAGGCAAUGAUUUAAACAGGUAAAAUGAGUAAGAGUCAUUUAUAUCUAAACAAGUGGUCUGACAAAGAUUUUGGUACAAUUUCUGACUUUCUCUUUUGAACCAUAGAAUAUUCCAUAGAGGAAGCCAUCUGUUGCCAGCACUCAUCUCAAUCAUGUCUGGCAGGUUGGGAGGUCAACUAUCUUGGCUCCAAGUAAUUUUAUAUGUUACAGUUGUUAUUAUCUUCCUCGUUCAUCAGCCAAAUAUUUAGCAUUUCUCUUACUUUGCGAUUAACCACAGAUGCUAUUUUGAGCCAUGUUCAUACAAUGUUGGUCUGGGACUAAAAUGUCUGGUUUCCCAGGGAAGCAAAAUAGUUCUAAAGUUCAAGCCUGAAUCCAUCCUACAACUGAUGAUAGUCUUAAGACAAGAGAUGUUCAAACAUCUGGAUUGUAACUUAAUAAGAAUUGACUCAUAUGUGUGGACAAGGUUCUGAUAGAAUGCACAGCUGACAAAAUCCAGCAACAACCAAUCAAAAUGUAGUUCAAUAAGUGCAAAUUUUGGCCAUCAUAUCUGUUAUAACAAGAAUUGGAUAAGAAAUUUUAUAAUACCUACAUGGCUAUUGGUAUAACACUACUGUGUUGAAUUUUUUUUUAUCUUAUAUCAAUAAUUCUUGAAUAAGCCAGUAACUUUACAGCUCUCCAGAUAAGAAGGAACAGAAUUACAAUGUACAUAUUAAUCAACUUCAAUUUUAGUCAACUAAAGGUGUGUUUUACAAGGCAAUGUCUUAUGUAUUUACAGACAAAUAUAUAUUACAUACAUGACAAAAAUGCAUGUAAAAUAUGUACUAAAAUCCAAUGAACAAUAAACCUGUGUUGUACAAAAUCCAACAAUUUGAAAUAAUAUGUGAUGAGUGGUGAAGAGGAUGAUAAAAAUCCACUAGCAAUUAAUUUAAUAUGGCAUGAAGAUUGGAUGUUGAUUACCACAGAGAGAAUUCAGGUGAUGACAGUUAAGAACAUAAUCAAUAAUUAAGACAAAAACAGAGUCACAUUAGAUGUGGCUCCAACUGCAAUACUUCGAUAUAAUAAGGGAUCUUAUUCACUGACUGCAAAUGAAAAGAGUAAGUGUCAAAGCGAAAAUUAUCAAAUCCCACAGUUUAAAGAAUAUCCUUGCAGAAGUCUUUAAAGUUUAUUUUGAUAUCUGUAGCCAAGUGUACAUCAGAAUGUUUCUAAAAUUUAGUUAUGUGUAAAGUUUAUUUGCAAGACUAGAAAAGUGCAAUCAUAAAGUGAGAUUUUUUAUGGCUCCUAUUAGAAUCAUCUAGAUGAAUGAUGCCACAAAGAAUUUGGCCAUUAACCUCUUCAAUCAUUUCUACCAUGCUAGAGAGGUACAUACUCAACCUAUACCCUUACUAUGGAUGUGCUAUCCCAAAAUUUAAACUCUAAUGCUUUUUAGAGUAGAGAUAGUCAUUACAACAGCCAUAAACUUUGCAUUUGUGGAGUUAGUGGAUGUGUCUGAACUAGUAAAUAGUUAAUAACUGUAGAGUAGCAUGGAAACAGAUAGUAAGACAUUGAAACUACUCGAGCAAAAAAGCAUAUCAAUAAUUCUAGCAAUUGACCAAAAACAGAACAAAGAAGUAAGGAAUAUGUUUAUGGUCAAAGUGGUGUUCAGCAAAGUUGUACAUUACUACUGACUGUAUUCGACCUUAUGACUCACUGGAAGUUAUUUACAGCUUAAGGUGAACACUAUAGAGUUCACCAGGGACCUUGAUGAUGCCAGCAACAUUAUUCGGUAAUUUUUCAGAUUAGCACCUGCACGAUUUUCACUAGGGUGUUAGGGUUAGGGUUUUAGGGUCAGGGUUAGCGUUUUAGGGUUAGGGUUUAGUGUUAGGGUUAGUGUUAGGGUUUUAGGUUUAGGGGUUAGGUAAUCGUGCUGGUGUUAAUCUGAAAAAUUACCCAUUAUUCUCCUGAGCUUGUCUUAUGCUGAUCUUCUGGUCAUAGCAGAUGAGCUCAAGAAUAUUUCAAGGUAAAUUAAACCUGAAAAUCAAAGCAAUCCAAACCAAUAUCCUGUUACUUGGCUUUACAAGUGAAUAUAAAUGCAUUCUCACAAUUAAUAAUAUUCAUCUAAGAAAAGCACAACAAUUUGUGAAGCUGGAUCCUUUUUCAUGCUAACUUUUAAAAUCAAAGCAUAAAAAUGAGAGUUGCAUUAAUGUAGCUCAUAUUGCCCACUGAAAGUUCUGCUCAAAAUCCAGUGACUCCGAAACACUGAUAAUUCUCCUCAGUAGCUAUGAAAUUUGAACUUUCUUUGGAUUGAGGACCCCUGUCACCUGAAGGUAUUUCACAAUUAGUGUCUGAGAAUAUAAUCACCAUCAUCAUCAUCAUCGUUUAACGUCUGCUUUCCAUGCUAGCAUGGGUUGGACGAUUUGACUGAGGACUGGUGAACCGGAUGGCUACACCAAGCUCCAAUCUGAUUUGGCAGAGUUUCUACAGCUAGAUGCCCUUCCUAACGCCAACCACUCCAAGAGUGUAGUGGGUGCUUUUACGUGCCACCGGCACGAAGGCCAGUCAGGUGGUACUGGCAACGGCCAUGCUCAAAAUGGUGUAUUUUACAUGCCACCUGCACAGGAGCCAGUCCAAACGGCACUGGCACGAUCUCGCUCGAAUGUCUGUUUAACAUUAAAUUAGCCCUGACUGACCAGACUUAUAAUCAAGAGUAUUCCAGUCAUGACCAUCCCAUCUAAUUCUUUUUUUUUUUUCAGACAGUGUAUCUAAACCAACAUUAUCCAAUGUGUCCUUCCGUUUAAGAUUGUAGGGAGUUACUUAACAUAAAUUCAGCUGCUUUUUCUAGUAUGUCAAGUGACUAUGUAGAGGUUUUUUCAGUGGCUAAAGUUUAACAGCUAUUCCAUGUGCAAAUCCAUAUGAAAAAACUUAGCUAAGCUUGCAAUACUAAGUACAUGUAAAAGCUUUAAUAUCAGACAAUUCAAUGCAGUCACCAGUUAAUUUAUUUUUCAUGGCUUAAGAUGUGUCAAAUGGGCUUGAAAGUGAAGAGCAAGGCCAUUGUAGUAGAGAUAGGUAAGUUAGGAAAAAUGAUAGUAUUUGUUUAUGGGUCUUACUUGAACUUUGUAAUAGUCCAAAUAUUAAUCAGUGCAGAUAUAUUUUCUGGCCUUGAAAAUAAAGGUUACCUUUGGGAUAAAGUUUCUGCUAUGUUAUGUAUGUGAGGUCAUCUGGAAAGAUCAUUAGUGUUUAUAAGGCCAGGCAUUUGUGGCAACUUCUAAGAUUUUAAUUGCAUGAAAUUAAUGACUUUCAGAAGAAAAGGUACAAAAUUUUCUCAAUAUGAGAAGUGAUUUUGUCUUUAAAAGAGACAGGAUUGUUCAUCUAACAGAUGUCAGCAUGGGAUGUAUAUAAUAAAACAAUAAAGAUGACAAUGAAAUUACUAACAUACAUGGUUGAAGGAAUAAAUCUCACAAUAAUUUAACUUGAAAUGCAAUAUAAGCAAUGCGCAUGUUGAAGUAUUUGACACAUUUCUUUUGAGUUUCAACCCUUUCAUUGCAGAAAUCAGAUAUAUCCACUAAAACUUUCAUUACCCUGAACAGCAGAAAGCAGUUAUCUUUUGUUGAGGAAUGUCAUGUUUGAUACUAUUUUUUGUUGAGAUAAGUCAAAUUUGAGGCAAUGUAACAUGCCUGAAAAUACCAAUUUUAUAUUUUGGUAAAUAUUUUAACAUCAUUACUGGAAUAACCAUUAAACUUAUUUCGCAGUUAAUGGGUUAAUAGCUCAUUUACAACAUCCAAUCACAGUUCAUUUGACAUUGAUUACAGAGCCACAAGUUAAUUUGUAUGAAAACCCAAUUUUACUCUACUGGGAAAUGUCCAGACAUAUAUACAAUCAACUAUCAUUGGAAUGCAGCAUAAUUUCACUUAAAUUUAUCACUCAUAGUUCCAAUCUUCAAGUUCCUCCGACUAUGCACUUAAAGCAUGUAAAUAUCCAGUUCUAAUCUAUGGAGAAUAGAAAGUGCAUAUUAUCUACCAAGAGUGAUUAAUGAUUUUUCUAUCUUUAGACAAUAAGUCAUUGAUAUUUUCCAACUGCUGGUUGUAGGCGCAAGGUAUUUAAUAUCAUCACCUGUCAUCUUUAGUAGAGUCCAUUCAGUUGCAAGAAUAUGGACAAGGUCUUCGGAUUGAAGGUAAUUUCUCUCCUACCUCCUACCAGUGGCGGCCCCGUAAAGGGUCAUGAGCACUACCCUACCCACUUGACUAAAGAUUGAAAAAUAGCUUUUGAGUUGCGAUUGUCGUCUACUUCCGUAUCAAAGGGCUUGCUAGUUGCAUACACACACAUACAUAAGAUAUAAGCUAUAAAACCUGGAUUCUAAGAAUGUAACUGAUCCCGCGUAAGCACUCCAGACGAAAGAAUAGGUUAUCACAAAGUUAAUUAAAUUCCCAUGUAAUUUAACUGGACUAUACCGAAAAUCAGGGACAUACAAACAGUAAAUUUCCUUGUGAAGUAAAUAAUAAGCAAAUAAAAUGAGGAGAGGUAUUGACAAACAGAUAGAUAUAUAUCGCAAAAAUAUUACAUACUUCAAACAAAAAUAUAGGUUUAAGAGAUUUUUAUGAGAGCACAUUCGAGAAAACGAUUUUCAAAAUCAUUGAAUAUCUAUUUCUCAUUUCUGAAUGAGAUAUAUCAUUAUUACUUUUUUUUUAAUACAAUUUCUUCCUACUUAAAAAAUUAAGUUAUCUGAGGAUUGUUGAUGUUAUAUCUCGAAAAAUUAAUUUAUAUUUAGGGAGGUGGGGAAAACAUUACACUGUCAGGCGAUCGAAGGGACAUAACUAUAACUUGUUUGUAAUCCUCACCACAACUACAAUAUGGUUUAAUAAACAAAAACACAUAUUCUAAUCAAAUCUAUAUUUUGGGGGUUGUAAUCUUUCUUUUUAAGAUGUCCGAUAUUUCAAAUUAGAUAAUAUAUAAUAAUGUCAAGGCAAUCCUGUCGAGACUAUCAAUUAUUAUGAAUACUAGAGACUAUCAAUUAUCAUGAAUACAUCAUUCAGUUUGAGGAUAUUUUAGUUACAAAAAUUUAAAUAAACAAAUAAACAGAAACAUUAAUAUUAAGUACUAGUUUCGAAAGAUCGCCGUAGAGAGAAAAUAAUUAUAUAAUAUCAAUAAAAACAAAAACAUUUAAGUGUAAAGACAUUAACGCUAGUAUCGGAAAUUAAUUACUCUAAAACUAAUUGCUUAAUCUCAUUUUGAAGGAGAGUAUACGUCAUUCCAAAUGGUAGAAAUAAUAACCAAAUCUCCCUCAAAUCUCAUCCUAUAAGGACGAAGAUGUUUCUGUUACUCAUCAAAAGAUGAGUGGCCACGGUUGGAAUGCUUUGUAUCGUAGAUUUGUUUGGUCAGUUGACCCGCGGUUAAACAACAUGAAUACAAAAUAUAAACUGGGGAUAUAUUUUAUCUUAUCUGUUCUCACGACAACAAUAUACGAGUUAACAUCAUGAGAAAAUGUUUAUGACGCCUGGAAAUAAAAAUUGUUUAUAUUUGUUUUGUUUGUUUUUUAGUAAACAUUUACGUCAUCCAAUGAAUGACUUGACAUUUAUUUUAUUAAAACUUAA